AACGAACGCUGGCGGCAUGCCUAACACAUGCAAGUCGAACGAGACCUUCGGGACUAGUGGCGCACGGGUGCGUAAAGCGUGGGAAGCUGCACUUAGGUUCGGAAUAACUCCCCGACAGGGGUGAUAAUACCGGAAAAUGUCUUCGGACCAAAGAUUUAUCGCACUUGGAUGGGCCGGCGUUGGAUUAUCUGGUUGGUAGGGUAAAAGCCAACCAAGGCGAAGAUCCAUAGCUGGUCUGAGAGGAUGAUCAGCCACACUGGGCUAGAGAGACGGUCAAGACUCGUACGGGAGGCGGAAGUGGGGAUCAUUGGACAAUGGGCGGAAGCGUGCUGCAGACAUACGGCGUGGGUGAAGAAGGCCUUCGGGUUGUAAAGCACUUUUGUUGGGAAGAAAAAGCAGCAGGUUAAUUGCGCGCUGUUAGGACGGAACCAAAAGAAUAGGCACCGGCUACGUUCGU
rnacentral:rRNA from 1 species